UCCUGCUCACUGUCACCACGCUCAUCAUCGACCUGCUCCAGUUCAUCGCCGCCUCUCACCAUCGUCGCCCUGCUCAACACCACCGCCCUACUGCUGCUCACCGUCCGCCCGCUCAACGUCGACCCCAUCCAGGCUUGCGUGUAGUUUCGGGGGUGCUAGGGGGUCCUGAGACUCACCGCCUUAGAAACCCAUGCAAAGUCUAUGUGGGAAAAAAACGUUCCCGACAGCUCAGGACUCCCUAGCACCCCAAGCCCCCCUCUAACUAAUCGCAAGCCAGCUCGUCGCCGCUCUGCUCAACUCCGCCCUGUCGCCUGAUUCAGGGGAUCGGCCUGCGCCUCCCCGCCAUGCUCCAGCUGGCACUCCGCGGGGGCAAACAGAUUCUUGCCGCUGAGAAGGACCCAGCCGCCGCGGCCCGCCCCGCCGCGCCCCGCCGAGACUGCUCCCCAGCCGACAACUGGACCUUCUGUCUGGAUGCUGCCGUGGCCGUGGUCGGCAGACCACAGGUACGUCCCUCAAGCCUUCCUUGUUGCACGUUUGGCCCGCUUGCAGUGGCCCCGGUCGUUCCCUGACGCCGCCCCUCGGCCGUUGGCUGGCGCGCCACGCUGGGCCUGCCCUCGCUGCACCCGCGGGUCUCCCCCGUAGGCCCCCCUCCCCCCCGCGGGGCUGGCGAGUGGCAGCGCUCGGGGCAGCGCGUCGGCCGCGGCUGGCGGGCGAGUGUAAUACUUUGUGACCGGCGGACCACGAGGGCAAAGUGACGGCGUACUCCCACCGCACGUCGGCACCGAACUAAUAACUUGUUCUGUUCCUCUUCCAUGCCGCCGCUGCUCUGGCCGUGGAGACCUCGGCCGUCCUGUUGCUGCACCAAGCUGCUCGACUCGGACGCUCCCCUGGGACCCCGAGCAGUGCGUCACGACGGCCUCGCCGGCGCCUCCUUGGUCGCCUACAAGCAGAGUCUCCGUGGAAGGUCCGCUGCGGCCGCCCGCCUCGCCGUGGACAGUCAGCCUGCCCGGGACGUGCGCCGCGAGCCACCGUUUCAGCUGCGGGAGAAGUGACUUUGGUUUGCUCCGUAACUAGAUGUUCGUUUCUCUAAUUGCUUUUUCAGUUCCAGGCGCGCUCCAGUUCCGGCCUCGUUGUCAAGUCUCCGCGGUCGGCGAAGGCCUCCAGGACCUCCAGGACCUCCAGCUACUCCACCAGCCCUCGCUCGCCGUCCUCGUCGCCGUCCUGGGCCCCGCCCUACUUGUGCUGGCACUCCGCGCGGGCAAACAGCCAAGAGGUGAUAGCCCCGCCGCGACUCAUGACUCGGCCCCCCAGGAAGGACCUCGGCCGCCUUGUUGCUGCACUGCACUACUGUGUUCGACUGGGACGCGCCCCUGGGACAUCAAGCAGUGCGCCACCCGCUCCUUCUUGGUCGCCUACAAGCAGAGAGUCUUCUUGGGAGGCGUGCCUGGCCGUCGCUCUGCCAGCCGCGCGCCCCACCUCGCCCCGCCCCCGCCGUGGACGGUCGGCCUGCCCGGGACGUCCCCGCAACACUGCCGCAGUUCCGCCCUGGUCAGCAGGAAGCUCCCGCAGCUGGCCAGGACACCAUGACUUCAGGACUUCCAGGAUCCGCUCUGCCCCUACGCCCGACAUUUGAACCGAGAAAGGAAGGACUACCGGCCCGUUCCAGUUCCGGCACCGUCAGCUAGUCUCCGCGGUCGGCGAAGGCCUCCAGGACCUCCAGGUACACCACCCCAGCCCUCCCUCGCCGUCCUCGUCGCCGACACUCCGCGGGGGAAGCAGAUUAUUGCUGCCACCGAGAAUGAGACGGUCUAGCCGCAGCCGCCGCGCCCCGCCCCGCCCCUCCCCCGCCCGCAGCCGGUGAGGACACCAAGACUCCACGACCCGCUCCGCCCCCGAUACCCGACAUUUUAGCCUACUAUGAACGCUGCUGCCUUCAAUGUCAUCCCCAUCAACCGGAGAAAGAGAGACAGACAAGUGAACAGCCCGUGUGUGGAGGUGACUGUCACAAGGAUGAGAAGCAGAACUGGUGCGAGCGAGGGCCACAAGAGGCAGUGAGCAGAUGGCAUUUCUACAUUGCUGUUUCACCAGAUGGAAGCCAUUCAACUGGCUCAACAAGACGACACGGACCAUUCAACAGUUUUCUUUUUAAUCACCUUCAUCUCUGUACAUUUCUACUGACUGGACUAUCUCUUGACGAUGACUUCUUAUUCCUGCCUUGCUUUUCUUGCAUCGUAGUGGAGUGUGUUUAUGUGGUGUUAGUAAUGACAUUUCGUUUGGGUUUUGCAUGUUUGUGGUGUGCUUGUAAUUUUAUGUGGGGUCUAGGAAUUCUGUGUAAUCUCUUCCUCUCGAACUUGACCAAACUUGACACUUUUCUGAAUAUCUGAAUCGUCUGCACACACUUCACACUUCUAUCACACGUCGUUUAAUGAUAGUAAAACUGUAAAAUCCACUGCUUUAAAUGGUAUUAUUACACUGAAUAGCUUUCACUCUUACAUGAUGUGCUUGUAUGAUAUUUUUUCUCGGUGUUCAGCAUUUUUCAAAUCAAUUCUUAUUACUCAGCAAUCAAUGUACCCAUCUUUUUUCCCUACUUUCAUUGAGUCAAUAUUACUUAUGUUCUGGUAUAACUGAUGUAUGCCCAAAUAAUUACUGUUUGACUUGGGCUUUUGUCUUGUGUGGAAACAUGUGCCACUGUCUUGUUAGCCUGUUGGGCAUUAAUGUUUUCAUAAACAUAGAAAUAAAAACAAUUAUUUGAAGGUAU